AUUGAACGCUGGCGGCAGGCCUAACACAUGCAAGUCGAACGAGUGGCGGAAGGGUGAGUAAUGUCUGGGAAACUGCCUGAGGGAGGGGGAUAAAUACUGGAGACGGUAGCUAAUACAGCAUACCAUCGGAUGUGCCCAUAUGGGAUUAGCUAGGAGGUGGGGUAACGGCUCACCUAGGAGACGAGCCCUAGCUGGUGUGAGGGGAUGACCAGCCACACUGGAGCUUGUACACGUUCCAGACUCCUACGUGCGGCCGCAGUGGGGAAUAUUGCACAAUGGGCGCGAGCCUGAUGCAGCCAUGCCGAGUGUAUUAAGAAGGCCUUCGGGUUGUAAAGUACUUUCAGCGGGGAGGCGUUACCCGCAGAAGAAGCACCGGCUAACUCCGUGCCAGCAGCCGCGGUAAUAC
rnacentral:rRNA from 1 species